CGGGUUAUCUUCUCUCUCGAAGCAUGUAAUUUCCACUGAUGGAGCUCUGGGUACCGCAGGUACGAGUUCCAGAUGCAGUACGGAUCCAUUGGCUGGUCUGUUGGGGCUACGCUCGGGUACGCACAGGCUGCGAAGAACAGGCGAGUGAUCGCAUGCAUUGGCGAUGGAAGCUUUCAGGUAAAUCCGAUCACAGUUGCCAUAUAAAACGAUUCAGAUGUUACCCAGUUGAAGGCUCAGACGUUCUCGGCUCUUCAUGGCAGGUGACGGCCCAAGAUAUCUCCACCAUGCUGCGCUGCGGACAGAAAAGCAUCAUCUUCCUCAUAAACAACGGGGGCUACACCAUCGAGGUGGAGAUCCACGAUGGCCCCUACAAUGUCAUUAAGAACUGGAAUUAUACGGCCCUGGUCGACGCCAUCCACAACGGAGACGGCAAGUGCUGGACCACCAAGGUUCCCCUCGCCUCCCACCCUUAUUUCUAUUAUCUUCAUUGUAGCUUCCGGUGGCAGUUCCAUUACCUGGCCUCUCGUCUGUUGCAGGUCCGGUGCGAAGAGGAGCUCAAGGACGCCAUUGAGACGGCGACGGGGCCGAAGAGAGACUGCCUGUGCUUCAUAGAGGUGCUUCUGCACAAGGAUGACACCAGCAAA
rnacentral:lncRNA from 1 species